CCCUUAGAUGUUCUGGGCCGCACGCGCGCUACACUGAUGAACGCAACGAGACGACCUGUACCGAAAGGCAUGGGUAAACUUGUGAAAGUUCAUCGUGAUGGGGAUAGAUUAUUGCAAUUAUUAAUCUUCAACGAGGAAUUCCUAGUAAGCGCGAGUCAUCAGCUCGCGUUGAUUACGUCCCUGCCCUUUGUACACACCGCCCGUCGCUCCUACCGAUUGAAUGGUCCGGUGAAAUCUUCGGAUUGCUGGAUAGGAGGGCAACCACCUAUCUGCGAGAAGUUGCUUGAACCUUAUCAUUUAGAGGAAGGAGAANUCGUAACA
rnacentral:rRNA from 1 species